GUACUGCAGGGGGCGGCUGGAUAGCUACGUUCGGACAGGAUAACCGCUGAAAGCAUCUAAGCGGGAAACCUAUUCCAAGACCAGGUUUCU
rnacentral:rRNA from 1 species